rnacentral:lncRNA from 1 species
AUGGAUUCAGGUUGCAUGUUUUGUGCAGGCUCUUAUCACGCGAUGGCAUCCACUGUGGAAGGAGGCGACACAGCUCUGCUCCCAGAAUUCCCCAGGGGGCCCCUCGAUGCCUACCGAGCAAGAGCGUCCUUCAGCUGGAAGGAGCUGGCGCUGUUCACGGAAGGGGAGGACAUGCUCCGCUUUAAGAAAACCAUCUUCUCAGCUCUUGAGAACGACCCUCUUUUCGCUCGUUCCCCUGGAGCUGAUCUGUCCUUGGAGAAGUAUCGCGAGCUGAACUUCCUUCGAUGCAAGCGGAUCUUCGAGUAUGACUUCCUCAGUGUCGAAGACAUGUUCAAGAGCCCUCUGAAGGUCCCCGCCUUGAUUCAGUGCCUGGGGAUGUAUGACUCUUCUCUGGCUGCCAAGUACCUCCUCCAUAGCUUGGUUUUUGGAUCAGCAGUUUACAGUUCUGGUUCUGAAAGACAUCUCACAUAUAUUCAAAAGAUCUUCAGGAUGGAGAUUUUUGGAUGUUUUGCUCUGACCGAAUUAAGCCACGGCAGUAAUACCAAGGCCAUUCGCACGACUGCCCACUACGAUCCUGCCACUGAGGUAGGUAUUACCUUCCCCCGGAUCCCUGGGUUUGGAGCAUAUGAGACGUCAUGAGUGCAAAUGCCGUUGCCAAGAAUAAGAAAAAAAAACAUUAAAGCAAGAGGCCUGUCCACAUACACAUGUGUAGAAAUACCCACUGAGAUUCAUCACACUGAAAAGUGGGGCCCAGGAGAUCAGGCAUUGGAGGACAAAGCCUGUGCCCACCAUGAACUUUAUGGGGAAUUGAUCGUGGUUUGGAUUUGUGUGUAAUUUGAGUGCAGUGAAGAAGCCCUCAUUCUGUAAAAUUUAUUGCCUUGUUUACCUGGCUGCCUACGCGUAGUGGAUUCAUAAACCGUUCGCAUGGCCCUUGGUUUCUACGAUGGGCCCCAUGGAGACAACAUGCUCCCUGCCCUCUGCCCUUUGUGGCUGUCCCUCUGCGAAGAGCCUGCCUUGUCCAUUUCCAC